rnacentral:rRNA from 1 species
GACGAACGCUGGCGGCGUGCCUAAUACAUGCAAGUAGAACGCUGAAGAGAGGAGCUUACUCUUCUUGGAUGAGUUGCGAACGGGUGAGUAACGCGUAGGUAACCUGCCUUGUAGCGGGGGAUAACUAUUGGAAACGAUAGCUAAUACCGCAUAACAAUGGAUGACACAUGUCAUUUAUUUGAAAGGGGCAAUUGCUCCACUACAAGAUGGACCUGCGUUGUAUUAGCUAGUAGGUGAGGUAAUGGCUCACCUAGGCGACGAUACAUAGCCGACCUGAGAGGGUGAUCGGCCACACUGGGACUGAGACACGGCCCAGACUCCUACGGGAGGCAGCAGUAGGGAAUCUUCGGCAAUGGGGGCAACCCUGAUCGAGCAACGCCGCGUGAGUGAAGAAGGUUUUCGGAUCGUAAAGCUCUGUUGUAAGUCAAGAACGGGUGUGAGAGUGGAAAGUUCACACUGUGACGGUAGCUUACCAGAAAGGGACGGCUAACUACGUG